UACGGGGGGAGCAAGCGUUGUUCGGAUUUACUGGGCGUAAAGGGCGCGUAGGCGGCGUAACAAGUCACUUGUGAAAUCUCCGGGCUUAACCCGGAGCGGCCAAGUGAUACUGUUGUGCUAGAGUGCGGAAGGGGCUACUGGAAUUCUCGGUGUAGCGGUGAAAUGCGUAGAUAUCGAGAGGAACACCUGCGGCGAAGGCGGGUAGCUGGGCCGACACUGACGCUGAGGUGCGAAAGCCAGGGGAGCGAACGGG
rnacentral:rRNA from 1 species